GAUGAGAUAGAUAAUAAAUGAAAUGAAAUGGCAGGCUGACAGUAAACGACGACGUGGAGGAAGGUGAACCUCGUCGUAUCAUCCGCUUCCUCCACUUCCUCCACUUCCCUUUCCUUCCCAUUUCAUUCCUUUCCUGCCACACUCAUUCAUCCUCCCUGAGAAAUGUCGAAGCUGCUGCUUCUACCCACUCCUCCCCUCACCACCUCCAUUCACCGCUUCAACACUUCAUCUUCGGCUUCUGCCCUUCAAUUCCAAUGCCGAUUCUCCCUUUCUCUUCUCUCUCGUCUCCACCACUCUCCCACUUCCUUCCGCUCCCUCGUGCGUAGAACAAGAGACCUUCCCCUUCGCGCUUUCGAUUCCUCCUCCGAUGCCAAUAGCGAAGAAAAAGAAGAAGUAAAGGAAAAUGAAGAGGGCGUUGACAACCGGAGUGGAAGUAGGAUUGCCGACGAGGAUUAUCCGAGCGGCCAGUUUGACUUCGAACCGGUUACCGGAUGGAGAAGCUUCCUCGUCAAGCUCAAGAUGCUAGUCGCGUUCCCUUGGGAGCGUGUCCAAAAGGGCAGCGUCCUCACAAUGAAGCUUCGUGGCCAGAUAUCUGAUCAAGUGAAGAGUAGGUUCUCUCCAGGACUUUCUCUGCCUCAAAUUUGUGAGAAUUUUUUGAAAGCAGCGUAUGAUCCUCGUAUUUCUGGGAUCUAUCUUCAUAUUGAUAGUUUAAAUUGCGGGUGGGGUAAAGUAGAAGAAAUUCGAAGGCAUAUAUUGGAUUUCAAAAAAUCAGGAAAAUUUGUUUUGGCUUAUGUUCCUUUAUGCCAAGAGAAAGAGUAUUAUCUUGCAUCUGCAUGUGAAGAGAUAUAUGCCCCACCCAGUGCUUACUUUUCUUUGUUUGGAUUGACUGUUCAAGCCUCAUUCCUCAAAGGCGUUUUAGAUAACAUAGGAAUUGAACCACAAGUGGAAAGGAUUGGAAAAUACAAAAGUGCAGGAGAUCAACUAGCUCGAAGAACCAUGUCUGAAGAAAAUUGUGAGAUGCUGACCACGUUACUUGAUAAUAUCUAUACAAAUUGGCUGGAUAAAGUCUCUUCUGCCAAAGGAAAAACAAGAGAAGAUAUUGAGAACUUCAUAAAUGAAGGUGUUUAUCAAGUAGACAAGCUGAAAGAAGAGGGACUCAUAUCAAAUAUAAACUAUGAUGAUGAGAUUACUGCCAUGUUGAAGGAGAGACUUGGAGUGAAAUCAGAUAAAGAUCUGCGUAUGGUGGAUUACAGGAAAUACUCUAGAGUUAGGAAAUGGACUGUUGGAAUACCAGGUGGUAAAGAACUUAUAGCCAUUAUCCGAGCAUCGGGGAGUAUUAGUCGUGUAGAGAGUCAAUUCAGUGUCUCUAGCUCAGGGAUCAUUGCAGAGAAGUUCAUUGAGAAGAUUCGCACUGUCAGAGAAUCAAAAAAAUUUAAGGCUGCUAUCAUCAGAAUUGACAGUCCUGGAGGUGAUGCUCUUGCUUCUGAUUUGAUGUGGAGAGAAAUCCGGCUUUUGGCUGCUUCAAAACCAGUCAUUGCUUCAAUGUCUGAUGUGGCAGCAAGUGGAGGGUACUACAUGGCAAUGGGAGCUGAUGUUAUUGUUGCAGAAAGUCUUACCUUAACUGGUUCAAUUGGAGUGGUAACAGGAAGUGAGCCAAUCCCAAAGAUGGACAAUUCUUUUUUGGAUAAUACAGUGUCUUCUGAUCAUAACCAAUUGGCUCAAUCUUCUCCACAGGUUCGGCUUAACUCUUCAGAGGAAAAUUUAACCUGGGGAAACUGUACGAGAAGAUCGGCUUUAACAAAGAAAUUAUAUCAAGGGGAAGAUAUGCUGAGCUCCUUGCUGCUGAGCAACGUCCUUUCAGACCAGAUGAAGCAGAGCUAUUUGCCAAAUCUGCUCAGCAUGCUUAUAAACAAUUUCGAGACAAGGCAGCUUCAUCCAGAUCAAUGACUGUAGAAAAGAUGGAGGAGUUUGCACAGGGAAGGGUUUGGACUGGUAAGGAUGCAGCUUUGCGUGGUUUAGUUGAUGCUAUUGGUGGCCUUUCUCGAGCUAUUGCCAUAGCAAAAAUGAAGGCUGAUAUACCUCAAGACAGACAGGUUACACUUGUGGAGAUCUCUAGAGCCAGCCCUUCUCUACCCGAGAUUUUGUUAGGCGUAGGGAGUUCCCUCGUUGGAGCUGACAGAACGGCAAAGGAACUGCUUCAGGGCUUGACAUUUUCUGAUGGAGUUCAAGCCCGGAUGGAUGGAAUAAAGUUUCAGACAUUGGAAGAAUAUCCUUUUGGCAACCCUAUUUUGUCAAUAAUAAAAGACAUCCUCAGUUCCCUAUAGCUGUCCAUAGUUCAUUUUAAUCAUUUUGUCUCACUAUAUUCAUAUAGUUUUUCCUAUAUGUUGUGUCAAGGGGCAAUAGACGAGAAAGGUUUCCUCUGUAUCUUGUUCUGUUUCUUCAAAUGUCUCCCUCAAAACCCUUGUAAAUGCAUGAUGUAAAGAUGGAAAGUUCAAAGCGUUGUUUUACGUAUCAACUCAGACGGAAUUUCUUGUCC